rfam:Ciona savignyi cont_13394, whole genome shotgun sequence.
AAGAUCAUACUUUUAGGGAUCAUUUCUAGAGUGUGAAUCUUGAAAACGUCAUCAAAUUAUGACGAAUCCUCAACUACGAUGAUGAGUUGACGGGAUUUCUUCUGAGCAUGAAGCUUGGUUCGUUGUAUCUUCGGAUGUUGCGAACUACUGAAGAUUGUUUUUUGAUUUCCAUUUGGCGAUCUAAGAGGAAGGAAUCUCCAGCUGAGUAGU